rnacentral:misc_RNA from 1 species
UCCGAGUUGACCCCGGCAGUCUCCUAUGAGUCCCCACCAUUACGUGCUGGCAACAUAGGACGAGGGUUGCGCUCGUUGCGGGACUUAACCCAACAUCUCACGACACGAGCUGACGACAGCCAUGCACCACCUGUAUACCGACUAAAAGGGGCCCCAUCUCUGGGGCUUUCCGGCAUAUGUCAAACCCAGGUAAGGUUCUUCGCGUUGCAUCGAAUUAAGCCAUAUGCUCCACCGCUUGUGCGGGCCCCCGCCAAUUCCUUUGAGUUUUAAGCUUGCGCUCGUAGUUCCCAGGCGGAUCACUUAAUGCGUUAGCUUCGAUACUAAAAGGUUAUACCUUCCAACAUCUAGUUCUCAUCGUUUACAGCGUGGACUAC